rnacentral:tRNA from 1 species
GGAGAGGUACCGAAGAGGUCGUAACGGGCUCGACUCGAAAUCGAGUUACGGUCCAAAAGACUGUACGUGGGUUCGAAUCCCACCCUCUCCGCCA